rnacentral:rRNA from 1 species
AUGUACAUUCCUACAACAUAGCGUUAAUGCAGCGGAUCCCAUUAGAACUCCGUAGUUAAGCGUGCUCGAACUAGAGUAGUACUGAGAUGGGUGACCGCCCAGGAAGUCCUAGUAUUUUACAUG